GAUGAACGCUGGCGGCGUGCCUAAUACAUGCAAGUCGAGCGAACGGACGAGAAGCUUGCUUCUCUGAUGUUAGCGGCGGACGGGUGAGUAACACGUGGAUAACCUACCUAUAAGACUGGGAUAACUUCGGGAAACCGGAGCUAAUACCGGAUGAUAUUUUGAACCGCAUGGUUCAAAAGUGAAAGAUGGUCUUGCUGUCACUUAUAGAUGGAUCCGCGCUGCAUUAGCUAGUUGGUAAGGUAACGGCUUACCAAGGCAACGAUGCAUAGCCGACCUGAGAGGGUGAUCGGCCACACUGGAACUGAGACACGGUCCAGACUCCUACGGGAGGCAGCAGUAGGGAAUCUUCCGCAAUGGGCGAAAGCAUGACGGAGCAACGCCGCGUGAGUGAUGAAGGUCUUCGGAUCGUAAAACUCUGUUAUUAGGGAAGAACAUAUGUGUAAGUAACUGUGCACAUCUUGACGGUACCUAAUCAGAAAGCCACGGCUAACUACGUG
rnacentral:rRNA from 1 species